AUUUUAUUAGUAUAAAUAAUACAUCUAACUUCCAAUUAGAAAAUUCUAUUGAAUAAAAUA
rnacentral:tRNA from 1 species